AAAAAUAACAAUCGAAGUGGGAUAGUUUGAAGAUAAAAACAAGAAACACAUUUAUGUCAUUCAAGGAAUGAUCAUUUGAAUACAAUUCAGAUACCAUGAAGAGAGUUUGAUCCUGUUUUUUGAAACAUUUUUACAAAAUGGUGUUCUUGUAUCGGUUAUUACGAAAUGACGAACAUCCUGAAAUGGGGUUGGUUGCCAAGAACAUAUGGUCUUCUGUGAGUGUGGAACAACACGUGACAUAUGGAUCACAUGGAAUCGCCUCAAAAUACAUAUCAUGUUGUAAAUCUGAACAAGCAGUGAGAAAACUUGCAUCUAUGUCGCGGACACACCCAAGAAGAAUCGCGAUGUUUUAUGUUAACGAAAGAGACAUAAAUAUCAUAGACUUGACAGAUCCUUUUAUCCGUGACUGUUUUAUUUCAAACAUGACGGGAAGACAUUAUGCCGCUAGCUUUGAGGAAGUUUUGAUUGAAAAUAAUAUUCCCAAAGAAUGUUUUGUUGGUUACAUUUAACUCAAAAUUAAUGUUCAAAACAUCUAUGGUUUUUUUUGUCUUGUUACUAAUAUUUUCAAAAGUUUGUUGGAUAUAUUUUGAACUUUAAAAUUAAGCACCGAUACUGAAAAAAAAGAUAACAUAUAAGUUUAAUCGAAUAAAUGUAUUAAAUAUU
rnacentral:misc_RNA from 1 species